AUUGAACGCUGGCGGCAGGCCUAACACAUGCAAGUCGAACGAGUGGCGGACGGGUGAGUAAUGUCUGGGAAACUGCCUGAUGGAGGGGGAUAACUACUGGAAACGGUAGCUAAUACCGCAUACCAUCGGAUGUGCCCAGAUGGGAUUAGCUAGUAGUUGGGGUAACGGCUCUCCUAGGCGACGAUCCCUAGCUGGUCUGAGAGGAUGACCGGCCAGACUGGAACUGAGACACGGGCCAGACACCUGAGGGAGGCAGCAGUGGAGAAUAUUGCGCAAUGGGCGAAAGCCUGAUGCAGCCAUGCCGAGUGUAUGAAGAAGGCCUUCGGGUUGUAAAGUACUUUCAGCGGGGAGGCGUUACCCGAAGAAGAAGCACCGGCUAACUCCGUGCCAGCAGCCGCGGUAAUUC
rnacentral:rRNA from 1 species